AGAGUUUGAUUCCUGGCUCAGAACGAACGCUGGCGGCAGGCUUAACACAUGCAAGUCGAGCGCCCCGCAAGGGGAGCGGCAGACGGGUGAGUAACGCGUGGGAACGUACCAUUUGCUACGGAAUAACUCAGGGAAACUUGUGCUAAUACCGUAUGAGCCCGAAAGGGGAAAGAUUUAUCGGCAAAUGAUCGGCCCGCGUUGGAUUAGCUAGUUGGUGGGGUAAAGGCCUACCAAGGCGACGAUCCAUAGCUGGUCUGAGAGGAUGAUCAGCCACACUGGGACUGAGACACGGCCCAGACUCCUACGGGAGGCAGCAGUGGGGAAUAUUGGACAAUGGGCGCAAGCCUGAUCCAGCCAUGCCGCGUGAGUGAUGAAGGCCCUAGGGUUGUAAAGCUCUUUCACCGGUGAAGAUAAUGACGGAACCGGAGAAG
rnacentral:rRNA from 1 species